AGGACGGUGAAGAUCGUAUCUAUUGGUCUCGUUCGUCGUAACUGGCAAAUUGUUUUUGCCUUGCCGACCAUCCUGAUAUAUCACCACCCAUAUUCCGAGUCCUC
rnacentral:snoRNA from 1 species